GAUGAACGCUGGCGGCGUGCCUAAUACAUGCAAGUCGAGCGAACGGACGAGAAGCUUGCUUCUCUGAUGUUAGCGGCGGACGGGUGAGUAACACGUGGAUAACCUACCUAUAAGACUGGGAUAACUUCGGGAAACCGGAGCUAAUACCGGAUAAUAUUUUGAACCGCAUGGUUCAAAAGUGAAAGACGGUCUUGCUGUCACUUAUAGAGGGAUCCGCGCUGCAUUAGCUAGUUGGUAAGGUAACGGCUUACCAAGGCAACGAUGCAUAGCCGACCUGAGAGGGUGAUCGGCCACACUGGAACUGAGACACGGUCCAGACUCCUACGGGAGGCAGCAGUAGGGAAUCUUCCGCAAUGGGCGAAAGCCUGACGGAGCAACGCCGCGUGAGUGAUGAAGGUCUUCGGAUCGUAAAACUCUGUUAUUAGGGAAGAACAUAUGUGUAAGUAACUGUGCACAUCUUGACGGUACCUAAUCAGAAAGCCACGGCUAACUACGUG
rnacentral:rRNA from 1 species